rnacentral:rRNA from 1 species
AUGAAUUUCCUGAGUUGGAACUGUCAGGGCGUUGGGAACAAACUGACAGUUCGAGAUUUGGUAGCUUUAGUAAAGGCUACCGAGGCGAGGAUGGUGUUCUUGUGUGAAACUUGGCAAAAUUCAGAAAAAGUCCGUUUGCGUAAUAGACUAGGUCUCAGAGGUUUUGCUGGUGUCGACAGUAAUGGUCUUAGUGGAGGUCUUGCUUUGUUU